UACGUAGGGGGCAAGCGUUGUCCGGAAUCAUUGGGCGUAAAGAGCGUGUAGGCGGCCCGGUAAGUCCGCUGUGAAAGUCCAGGGCUCAACCCUGGGAUGCCGGUGGAUACUCCCGGGCUCGAGCACUGUAGAGGCAGGUGGAAUUCCGGGUGUAGCGGUGGAAUGCGUAGAGAUCCGGAAGAACACCGGUGGCGAAGGCGGCCUGCUGGGCAGUUGCUGACACUGAGGCGCGACAGCGUGGGGAGCAAACAGG
rnacentral:rRNA from 1 species